GAGGACAUAGGAGAGGUCGAAAAUUGAGAGGAAGGGGACGGCGGAUCGUUGAAGAAGAAGACGAUUCAGACAUAACAGGAAACACAGAGUUUGGUUCUCAAUUCUGAACGUUAACGGGCCGGUGAAACGCGAAGCCCAAAUGACAGAAGUGAGCAUCUGAUGUGGCGGAAAGCUCUUCUCCUAUUGGUUGAUUUUUACUGUCGACGUGGACACUCUAACUAUUCAGGGUAUUCCCAUUUUAGUAUUGUAUUGAUAAUGUUGAAGUAUCUGACUUUUUAGGCUGUCCACGUCACUCUGGAGAGGAGAGAAAAUCGUGACACGUCAGCGUUUCUUUUAAGCUCUUCUAUUUCGUUGACGAGUUUAAAAUGGUUGGAACUUUAUGGUCAACCCAUUAAGGGCCCACCUCUGCACUCCGAGUCUUCGUCUUCUCAAUAGC
rnacentral:lncRNA from 1 species